CAAUAGCGUAUAUUAAAGUUGUUGCGGUUAAAAAGCUCGUAGUUGGAUUUCUGCCGAGGACGACCGGUCCGCCCUCUGGGUGAGCAUCUGGCUCGGCCUGGGCAUCUUCUUGGAGAACGUAUCUGCACUUGACUGUGUGGUGCGGUAUUCAGGACUUUUACUUUGAGGAAAUUAGAGUGUUUCAAGCAGGCAUACGCCUUGAAUACAUUAGCAUGGAAUAAUAAGAUAGGACCUCGGUUCUAUUUUGUUGGUUUCUAGAUCUGAGGUAAUGAUUAAUAGGGAUAGUUGGGGCGGUCAGUAUUUCAGCUGUCAGAGGUGAAAUUCUUGGAUUUGCUGAAGACUAACUACUGCGAAAGCAUUCGCCAAGGAUGUUUUUCAUUAAUCAGGGAACGAAAGUUAGGGGAUCGAAGAUGAUCAGAUACC
rnacentral:rRNA from 1 species